rnacentral:rRNA from 1 species
AAAACAGCCCUACGGGAGGCAGCAGUAAGGAAUAUUGGUCAAUGGACGCAAGUCUGAACCAGCCAUGCCGCGUGGAGGAUGAAGGUCCUCUGGAUUGUAAACUUCUUUUAUCUGGGACGAAACACUUCUUUUCUAAGAGGCCUGACGGUACCAGAUGAAUAAGCACCGGCUAACUCCGUGCCAGCAGCCGCGGUAAUACGGAGGGUGCAAGCGUUAUCCGGAUUCACUGGGUUUAAAGGGUGCGUAGGUGGGUAUGUAAGUCAGUGGUGAAAUCCCCGAGCUUAACUUGGGAACUGCCGUUGAUACUAUAUAUCUUGAAUGCCGUAGAGGUAAGCGGAAU